CUCAAUCAAAACCACCUGAAAGCGAGAGGGAUUCUGCACAUAAUAGGCCUCUGACAGCAGGGGAAUGGAGAGAGCUGCAGGAAUCGUGGAGAGGAAUCCCUGUCUCGCUGCCCUGAGGCUUCCCCUCCCUCAUGUCAAGAGAGAUAACCACCAGCACCUCAUGGAGAGAUGGAAAGAGAGACAAAGAGAGAAAAACAGACGGACAAAAAGUGAAACUGAAAAAGAAAGUUGCCAUCUAGGGAGGAUGAAUUAUGUCAUUUUUUCAAGUCCCAAGAAAAGAAGCUGAUGUGAGGUUGAAGAAGACACACAAAAAGAAGCAGAAAUAUUUAAUUUGAAGGGAAAAGAAAAGCAAUGUCCAUCACCGUGGCUCUAAUGCAGCAGCAUUUCCCCGGGGAAAUGAGGGAGUGGCAGCGGUUGGAGGGGGACGGGAGCUGUUCCUGAUUGGCUGAUAGAGUUUUAUUAUCUCUGAGUCCAAAACAAGGAGCUGGCUGGCUGGCCGCUCGGCAGCACAGGGCUGAUGGGGCUAAUGGAAUCCGAACGCUGGGCCUCAUCUCUCAGCUGUGAUGGCUCUGACAGGCCCUGAUGGAUCGCUGGGGCUGAAGCUCCCUGACAGUCACGCUCGGCUGAUGAAUUGUGAAAUGAGACAGACAUACAAAAGCUGUGUGCAGCCCAGACCUGGACUCAGCCCCCCCCCCCCCCCCUCCUCCCUCCUCCCCUCGGUCAACCGGUAUCUCUGUAUGACAGUGAGCGCCAUGACCCUGGCAUCCAUCUUCACCCUGACUUGUUGCUGGGUUCUGUGUGUGUCUCUGCUGGGUGCCAUGGAGACACAGCAUCCAGUCUUUGGAUCAGAGUUAAUGUUAAUGAUGGACCGUUGACUUCUCCUGACAUUUCGCCUGAAUGUAGCACUGGCAGUAUAUAAUGUACUAUAAGAAUGGUAUGAUCGACUUCACAUCACCCUCACAUCUGAACCAGAGAGGCUUUAACACGACAUGUGAGAACUGUUACAGGAAACUGAGACGCUAGAGGAGAUCAUCUCACCUUUAGAAAGUGCACAGUAAUGUACAUUUUAGGCCUACAUUUUGCCCUCAAAAAACUGAAACUUUGACUUUAAUUAAAUAUAUUAUGUCCAUUCAUUUCACAUUACUGUAUUAGGUUAGUUGAAAGCAAAACAAAUCAGGUUUAACUUAAUAUUAUUGCUUUCAACGAACCUAAUACAGUUGUGGGAAAUGUGUUCAAUUAAAGUCAACGUUUCAUUUUGUUCAGUGCGGAUAGAGAUCAAGCAGCUCUCCCCUCUUGUAAAACAGAAUGAGAGAGGAACUGGAAAGGGCUACAACGUACUACUUAUUAAAAAAGAAAAAAACCAGGCCGAGGGUGAUAGUCCACCAGAGGGCUGUCUGCAGCUAUAAUUACAGAGUCUCCCAUCGUAAUCAUAAAAAAGGCAUCACUUAACAGUUUAUGGUGUUGCUUUUAUUAAACCAAUCUGAGCAGAUGGCAGUUGAAGGAUCCUGGAUAUGUUUUCUGGGCUGAGGGCCGAGGAUUAAUGGGAAUAAGAGAGCUCGGGGGUGUCAAGAAAACUGCUGCCAGUGGAUAUCAAAUGAGUUAUUACAUGUUUAUAUGAAGGCAUAUUUAUUUAUGUUUAAUUAUGCUUCCUUUCCCUUCCUGCUUCCUUCCUCUCUCUCUCUGUCUGGGUGUAUCUCUUCACUGCCACCUUUGGGUGUUAAUGAAAUUAUAAAGUUUUGUGAGGAAUUUAGGCAAAACCACAAAAUAAUGCUACUCCCUGUUCACACGUCGUGAAGUUUGCUGACGCUAGACCGCCCUCCUCCUGAUCACCGACGGCGACGAGACGCUGACAGAGGAGGUCAGAACCCUGAUAUCUUGGUGCCAGGAGAACAACCUCCAUCUCAACGUCAGCAAAACCAAGGAGCUGAUAGUCCUAAACAGGACAGUUUAGGACAGAUUUUAGUUUCUUAUAUUUAUUGUUUUAUGUCUUGUAAUGCACUGUUGAGGAACCUGCCAUCUAAGUGUUUCAUACAUUACAUAACUACACCGUAGUUGUGUAAUAUGUUAUGACAAUAACCUUUGAAUCGUGAACAAAAAGGCUUUUCCUUCUGAGUGUUAACCCAUUAGCUCCUAAAUAAUUGAGUUUUCAGUGUUCAGGACAGAGCAGACCUCAAUGUCCUUGAGCUUUGAUUGAUUACAUCAAUGGCCUUAUGUGUGAUUUAUGAGUCUUUGAUAAUGAUCUGUUAUCCCCUACAGGUUGGUAUCAGAGAGCACAGAGAUAGAAGUAAACAGUUCUUAAGAAUAAUCAAUGCACUCAAUAUAACCCACCUUCCAAACAUUCAAGCUGUAUGAACCUUUCGUGAAGUGAAUCCAACACUGGGAAGAAGAUAUGUUUUGAAGUUUGAUUUUCACCUUGCUUUGCCAUACAGUCUGAAGUUAAAGUGUGCUGAAAUAAAACAGAAUCCAUUUCAAAAGUAAACUGAACGUUAGCUCACACACAGCACUUUGGAAUAAAGUCAAACCACUUAUGAAAUACCUUUCACCUGGCUGUUCUUGGCUGCACGUGGAUGGAUGGUACAUGUUUUAGGAGUAAGUCAAAUUAAUAAAAGGGAUUUAUUUACAAUGAAUGUGCAUGCAACUAUGUUUUAUAGGGCCAAUGAAAGUUAACCACACUGACAUAUUUCACAGUUUGUUGCUCAAAGCUUGAUUUGUAAUAUUUAAAAAUAUCUAGGGUGAACAAAAAUGAUUUGCACUUAAAUAUUUGAUUGAUCAAACUCCUGAGUAAUCUGUGGCUCAAUCCAGUUUUUUUUGAUAAUGUACAUUAUAUUAAAGUUAUUUGGCCACACAAUA